rnacentral:rRNA from 1 species
UACGGAGGGGGCUAGCGUUGUUCGGAAUUACUGGGCGUAAAGCGCACGUAGGCGGCUUGUAGAUUAGAGGUGAAAGCCCAGGGCUUAACCCUGGAAUUGCCUUUAAGACUGCAUCGCUAGAAUCGUGGAGAGGUAAGUGGAAUUCCGAGUGUAGAGGUGAAAUUCGUAGAUAUUCGGAAGAACACCAGUGGCGAAGGCGGCCCGCUGGGCAGUGGCUGACGCUGAGGCGCGACAGCGUGGGGAGCAAACAGG